rnacentral:rRNA from 1 species
CUUGACCUCAAAUCGAGUAGGACCACCCGCUGAACUUAAGCAUAUCAAUAAGCGGAGGAAAAGAAACUAACAAGGAUUCCCCUAGUAACGGCGAGUGAAGAGGGAAGAGCUCAAAUUUUGAAUCUGGCGUCUCUGGCGUCCGAAUUGUAAUCUAGAGAAGUGUUUUCCGUGACGGACCGUGCAUAAGUCUCCUGGAAUGGAGCGUCAUAGAGGGUGAGAAUCCCGUACAUGGCAUGGACUCCCGUUGCUCUGUGAUACACUCUCGACGAGUCGAGUUGUUUGGGAAUGCAGCUCUAAAUGGGUGGUAAAUGCCAUCUAAAGCUAAAUAUUGGCGAGAGACCGAUAGCGAACAAGUACCGUGAGGGAAAGAUGAAAAGCACUUUGGAAAGAGAGUGAAACAGUACGUGAAAUUGUUGAAAGGGAAACACUUGAAGUCAGUCGCGCCGUUCAGGAUUCAGCCUUGCUUCUGCUCGGUUUACUUCCUGUUGGGUGGGUCAACAUCAGUUUCGAUCGGAGGAGAAAGGCUUGGGGAAGGUAGCAGCAUUCGUGCUGUGUUAUAGCCCCUUGUUGUAUACUUCGAUUGGGACUGAGGACUGCAGCACGCCUUUGGCCGGGGUUCGCCCACGUACGUGCUUAGGAUGUUGGCAUAAUGGCUUUAAGUGACCCGUCUUGAAACACGGACC